rnacentral:rRNA from 1 species
UACGUAGGGUGCGAGCGUUGUCCGGAAUUACUGGGCGUAAAGAGCUCGUAGGUGGUUUGUUGCGUUGUUCGUGAAAACCGGGGGCUUAACCCUCGGCGUGCGGGCGAUACGGGCAGACUUGAGUACUGCAGGGGAGACUGGAAUUCCUGGUGUAGCGGUGGAAUGCGCAGAUAUCAGGAGGAACACCGGUGGCGAAGGCGGGUCUCUGGGCAGUAACUGACGCUGAGGAGCGAAAGCGUGGGGAGCGAACAGG